rnacentral:rRNA from 1 species
GACGAACGCUGGCGGCGUGCUUAAUACAUGCAAGUCGAACGGACAGGCCCUGCCUUUGCUUGCUGCUCGAUAGGCUAUCGGGUGCGUAACACGUGAGUAACCUGCCCUUAACUUUGUGGUAACUUCAGGAAACUGGGGCUAAUACCGGAUAGGAGCUCCUGCUGUUAGUUAGUGCAUGGAAAUUUUCGGAGGUUGGGGAUGGCCUCGCGGCUUAUCAGCUAGUUGGUGGGGUAGUUGCUUACCAAGGCUUUGGCGGUUCGCCGACCUGAGAGGGUGACCGGCCACAUUGUGACUGGGAUAGCGGCCAGACUCCUACGGGGGGCAUCGGUGGAAAAUAUUGCGCAAAGGGCCGCAGCCGUGAACGACGACGCCGCGUCGUAGAUGACUGUCGUCAGGGAAUAAACCGUUUUCGACUGUAACGUACAGUGUGUGACGGUAAUUUAUAAAAAAGAAACGGCUAACUACGUG